rnacentral:tRNA from 1 species
GCGCGGUUAGUUCAGUGGUUAGAAUUCUCGCUUCCCAUCUUAGCGAGAGACCCGGGUUCGAAUCCCGGAUCGCGCA